ensembl:snRNA U6 U6 spliceosomal RNA
GUGCUUGCUUCAGCCGCACAUAGACUAAAAUGGGAAUGCUACAGAGAAGAUUAGCAUGGCCCUGUGUAAGGAUGACACACAAAUUCGUCAAGCGUUCCAUAUUAAA